GUCGGGAUAGCUCAGCUGGUAGAGCAGAGGACUG
rnacentral:tRNA from 34 species